rnacentral:rRNA from 1 species
UGGCUCAGGAUGAACGCUGGCGGCGUGCUUAAUACAUGCAAGUCGAACGAAGUUUUCUCGCCGAAGUUUACUUCAUUGAGAAAACUUAGUGGCGGACGGGUGAGUAACGCGUGGGUAACCUGCCUUACACAGGGGGAUAACAGUUAGAAAUGACUGCUAAUACCGCAUAAGCGCACGAGAUCGCAUGAUCAUGUGUGAAAAGAUUUAUCGGUGUAAGAUGGACCCGCGUCUGAUUAGCUAGUUGGUGAGGUAACGGCCCACCAAGGCGACGAUCAGUAGCCGGCCUGAGAGGGUGAACGGCCACAUUGGGACUGAGACACGGCCCAAACUCCUACGGGAGGCAGCAGUAGGGAAUAUUGGACAAUGGGGGAAACCCUGAUCCCAGCGACGCCGCGUGAGUGAAGAAGUAUUUCGGUACGUAAAGCUCUAUCAGCAGGGAAGAAAAUGACGGUACCUGACUAAGAAGCACCGGCUAAAUACGUGCCAGCCGCCGC